AGUGAACGCUGGCGGUAGGCCUAACACAUGCAAGUCGAACGGCAGCACAGUAAGAGCUUGCUCUUACGGGUGGCGAGUGGCGGACGGGUGAGGAAUACAUCGGAAUCUACUUUUUCGUGGGGGAUAACGUAGGGAAACUUACGCUAAUACCGCAUACGACCUACGGGUGAAAGCAGGGGAUCUUCGGACCUUGCGCGAUUGAAUGAGCCGAUGUCGGAUUAGCUAGUUGGCGGGGUAAAGGCCCACCAAGGCGACGAUCCGUAGCUGGUCUGAGAGGAUGAACAGCCACACUGGAACUGAGACACGGUCCAGACUCCUACGGGAGGCAGCAGUGGGGAAUAUUGGACAAAGGGCGCAAGCCUGAUCCAGCCAUACCGCGUGGGUGAAGAAGGCCUUCGGGUUGUAAAGCCCUUUUGUUGGGAAAGAAAAGCAGCAGGUUAAUACCCCGCUGUUCUGACGGUACCCAAAGAAUAAGCACCGGCUAACUUCGUG
rnacentral:rRNA from 1 species